AUAUUAUUUAGGCUAGGUCCCUUUUGAAAAGUGUUUAGGGAUGUAAAUUAAGGAUAACGGGAAUGGGUAAUCAGGGUUAUUGUUGAUUGGUGAACUUAAUAAGUUUAUUAUUAUUGUGGGUUGAAAACCCUAUAUGCUCACCAGGCUCCCAAGCCUGACCCACUCAGCUUUUUAUGUUACAGGUAGUGGACCCCGAGCAUAGUCGGAGGACGACGAGAGAUUUUUGGAUUAUAGGCCAGUAGUUGUAAAUAACUGUUGAAAGGCUUAUAAUGUCUUGUUUAUGCUUUUGAUANGGCAUUAGUUAGUGUUUCCAUUGCCGUAUAAGGUGCGUCUGGGGGUUAUAUACCUCACGAUAUUCAGACCACAGCCUAGGAAAAGUUCGAUGUUGGAUAGUGUGCGUCUGGGGUUAUAUACCUCACGAUAUUCAGACCACAGCCUAGGCAUUGAUAACUACCCCUGACUUAAUUGUCUUGUGGUUCUUUCUUUUACGAACAAAGGUGCGUAGUUAAACUUAGUCCAUUCAUUCAAUAUGUUUAUCGAUCCUUGUUUGCUGCUAGAGGAUUUCUGAAGCAGUUUCGUAGUUAGUUGUUCAUAUCGAUCCUUUAGGCUAGAUCUAGUAAGAUCACUAUAUAAGGUUAGUAUGCGGGGCUCAAUGAUGUUAGUUCCUGUUAAGUAAACCUUGGUGAUGAUGUGACUUCGUGCCUAUUAGGUAAACCCUGGUGACUAUGAGACGUAGUGCCUAUUAGAUAAAUCUUGGCGACGAUGUGACUUCGUGCCUAUUUGACCUAAAUUGUUGUAGGAAAACAAUGUUGUCACCCCUAAUGAAAAUCCUUAGGCUAGGUCCCUUGUGAUAGUUGUUUUAGGGACGUAAGGUGAGGAUAACGGGAAUGGGUAAUUGGGGUAAUUUGGUUGACUGAUUGAUGUUUAAACAUAAUAAAUUUAUGUAUUGUGGGUUGAAAACCCUAUAUGCUCACCAGGCUUCCAAGCCUGACCCACUCAGCUUUUUAUGAUUACAGGUAGUGGACCCCGAGCAUAGUCAGAUGAUGAUGAUGAGUGAUUUUGGAUUAUAGGCCAUUAGUUAUAAAUAACUGUUGUAAGGCUUAUAAUGUCUUGUUUAUGCUUUUGAUCUGUAUCGGAACAUGACAUCCCGAGGUUUUGUUAUGAAAUAAAAAUAUAUAUUUCUUAAAGCAAGGUUUUGAUAAAUUUUUAUCAUGUUUGACUUUGGGAACAAAUUCCGCAACACUUUUAAUGAAAUGAUUACUCUGAUUUUAUUUUAAAAAGCAUAAACGAAAUCGGUCUUUUCUGGCCGUGAAAUUGGGGAUGUCACAGUUGGUAUCAGAGCAUUAGUUUAAGCGAACUAAGAAAUAUCCUACGAUUUCUAGACUUAAACUUAGAAUGCUAAGUGAUGAUUGUGAGAUGAGUGUCUACCAUAAUUUAGACAUGAGCACUAGUUUAUUUUAGGAAGGAUGCCUAAAAUGCUUCUAUGUGCUAAAUGUUUUGUGUUAUAGCUAUAAUGAUGCUAUUAUUUUUUCGGAUCUAUGGUCUGUUGCUGACCGGAUCUGGAAACCUUAUAUGUGUAGGAUUCUAAGCGUACAACUACGAUAUUAGAACUAGCAUAUAAACGUUUCGGAGUGAUAAGGAGAUUUAUACGUCUAUCGUAAAUAAGGCUUUCUUAUCUUAAAUUCUCGCCUAGUACAUCGAACGUCUGAUUGGGUGUACAAAACGUUAUGGUGGAGACUCGUAGAGAAUUGAGUAAAUGGAGUAAAUGAAAGGCUUAUGAUAGUGAAUGACACCUAUCAGAAGAUAUCGUAAAAGUGGUAUCUUGCCUUUAGAAUAUGUCUAAUAAAAUAACGAAACAUUUAGAGGGGUACGUUACGUCUGAAGUAAACCUUCGAUUGGCAGGAUGAUGGAAAGAUUGGUGUAAUUCUUGAAGUUUUCCCAUUGUCUGGAAUUUCCAUCACCAACCAAGUUGAAGUAGAACUAAUGAUUGAAGAUACUCGUGGAAGAAGUACUAGUAGAGUCUAGGAAAAUUCUAUGGUUAAUUGGACACAUUCGUAUGUGUUAAAUUGUUUUGUGAUUUUAGAACUUGGGGACUGCGAGACAGUACUUGGGACGAGUAUGAGUAGGUGUGAAUAGUAGUAGAGAUCUAUACUACUGGAAGCAUAGGACUCACACUUGGAUCAGGGAAAGUCACAAGGUUACCAAGAAACUAGUGAUUGAUUCCGUUUUAUUCGGAUAUGUCAUUACCAUCGUUUCAGUAAUGACUAAGAAGAUGAUUGUUAUUCUGACCCUAGUGGUCAUAUCGAAUUGAGUCCGACUACGAUGAGUUAGUUAUGUGGUUCAGAGAACCAAGUUCGAUGAAGCAGUUGACUUAAGCCAAAUUAAAGGAAAGCCUGAUCAAAGCGAUCAAUAGAAGUAUCGCGUUCGUUGUUAAAGAAGUUGGGUUAGGUUGUAUUCUGACCCAAAGUGAUGAAGUGAUAGCGUAUGCACUGAGGCAAUGGCGCUGGCUAGAGUUACUCAAGGACUACGACUGUAAGAUACUUUACCACCCUGGUAACGCAAGUAUUGUUGCUAAUGCUCUCAGUCGGAAGGUGAAUCUUGAAAAGAAAAGGCCAAGAGCGUUGAGAAUUGAAGUUGUCUCUACAAUUAUGGGAAGUAUAACAGAAAGCUCAAGAGGAAGCUUUAGAGAAAAAUGACCGAAAGAAGGAAUUUUUGGGAUAAAACGUUGGUGUUUGAUACAAAGGGUCAAAGACUGAAGGUAUUCAAAGAUAGGAUUUGGGUACCUAAUAUGGGAGGAGUAAGAGGAUUUGUGAUGGAAGAAGCUCACAAAACCAUGUACUCGAUUCAUCCCAGCAAUACGAAAAUGUAUAGGGAUCUAAAACCCUAUUACUGGUAGCCGACGAUGAAGCUCGAAGUUGCUAAAGUAUGUGGUUGAGUGUGUAAAUUAUGCUAGGGUUAAGGCACAACAUCAUAAACUAUAUCGGAGUUUAGAUCCUUUACCUGUACCCAUGGGUAAAUGGGAAGAUAUCACUAUGGAUUCUGUUACUAAACUGCCCAGAACAAGGAACGGUCACGACAUGAUUUGGGUGGUCGUUGAUCGCUUCACUAAGAAUGCGUAUUUCAUAGCAGCCAACAAGAAAUGGUCUAUGGAUAAACUUGCGAAUUCUUAUGUGAAGGAAAGUGUGAGGUUUCACGAUGUUUCGUUAACGAUUGUAUCCGAUUGUGACAGCCGUUUUACCUCAAGGUUUUGGAGGAGUCUAUAAGAGGAAAAGCCGUUUAUGGGACUUGAAAUACUCCAUUAGAAUGCUGAAAAGUUGUAAGUGAUUAAAGAAAAAGAUGUUAGCUGCUCAAAAGAGCUAUGCUGACAAGAAAAGACAACUGAUAUCAUUCGAAGUUGGAGAUUCGGUUUCACUUAAAGUCUCGUCGUGGAAGGGACUUAUAAGAUUUGGUAGAAGGGGAAAGUUGAGUCCAAGGUUUAUUGGACCAUUUAAAGUUCUUCAGAGAAUCCGGAAUCAAGCUUACAAGCUAGAAUUACCGGAAGAACUAGAGAGUAUUCAUAACACCUUUCAUGUGUGUUAUUUGAAAAAGUUCACGGGAGGUGUGCCCGACAUAAUUCCCAUUUCUGAAUUAAGGUUGGACGAGAACAUAAGGUUAAUUGGAGAACCUGAGGCAAUCGUUAACUGUAAGACUAAGAAGUUGUAACGUAAGAUAGUCGAUUUAGUGCAUGUACAUUGGAAACAUAUAAACGGGCCAGAUCCCACCUGGGAAACGGAGAGUGACAUAGUGAGUCGCUACACGUAGUUGUUUGUCGUUGUGUGAUUCCGGGGACAGAAUCAUCCUAAGGGGGAGAGAGUUGUAACGCUCGUGUUUCUAGGCUAGGCAUUAAUAUUGACAUAAUGGUCUAGGUUAACCUUUGUAACUCAUUUAGAAGAAAUGAAAAGGAAUUAUGUGAAUUUUAUGUGAAUUAUGUGUUUUAUGCUUAAUUAUUAGGGCUUAAUUAAUUAAGAAUAAAAAUAAGCGUCAAAAUUAAAGUGUGAGAUAAGCCCGAUAUCUUUACAUAAAGUUGUAGUGGUCGAAACAAGGAUUUCGGGGAUAUAAAGAAUGCCAAAAUCCGAGUUAUAACGAAGAAGUUAUGACCUGUCGAAGUUUCGCGACAAAACCGGCACGGUGCCGAAUGUCGUAAAAAGUGAGUUUUUGAGAAACUACUUUUUAGCCUUAGUAAUCUAAACAAAAUUCGUAGUAUUCGUUAAACCGAGAAGUUCGAUAAAAAGAACGCCCAAAUCUGACUUCGUAUGAGGAAGUUAUGAUUUUUCGAAGAUUCAUCUUAGUAGUAAACAGCUAAAAACUCGAAUUUUAGAUCGAGCGAUUUUUAGCCGACACAACCUAAACGAGAAUUGAAGGUCUCGUCAUUAGUAGCACAACGGUAAAAAGUCUGACGAAAACGGACGUCGGAUGAAGAAGUUAUGAAUUUUUCACGGAUUUCAUAUCCCGAUCUGUUAAAAAUAAUAAAAAAAAAAAUUAAAGUGAAAAUUAGCCGACGGAGUCUAAAUGAAAGUUCUAGAGCGUAAUUUUACCUAUGCGUGCAUAUAAAGAACGUCAAAAAUGGAGCUCGUAUGUGAAAGUUAUGGAUUUUAGAAGUUUUUGCGCGAAAAACGAGAAAAAUCCCCAAAACCGAGAAAUUUCGCUGAGUCACCUCGGACACGUCAUCCCUCGCAUGCGAGGCCUCCACGUGGCACCUCCUAAUAGGACCGAGCUUCGCAUGUCGUCUUCUGAUUGGACCAAGUCCGCGGUCCACUCGCAUUCGGACAGGCUCGCAAGAGACACCCCGCGGAUGCUCCUCGGACACCCUUUCGCAUACGUGGACUCUUCUCAUUGGACCGAGGUUGCUGACCAAUCCGAAGCUCGCAGCUGACCGGUCCUAGCCUCGCCGAAGCAGCCACCUGGUCCGAGCCUCGCAGACGCGUGCCAUCCCCUCCUCGGUUCAGAUACGAGCCUUCAGUCCUCCUCCCCUAUAAAUAGAAGGGUGCGAGACCUCCCGGGGGUAUUUUGAAAACUUAUCAUUUUUAUCCCCUUUCUCCAUAUUUCUUUCAUAUUAUCAUCCCCCGAAGCCCCGGUAUCGAUUAUAAGCCCCGGAAUACUCCACGAAGUGCCCGUGAAGCCCGGAAAAUUUAUCUUUUCGGUUUCGAAGCCCGACUUUUACAAAGCCCNGCCCGAGAAGCCCGGAAAAUUUAUCUUUUCGGUUUCGAAGCCCGACCUUUCGCAGAGCCCGGUUUCUUAAUAAAACUCCCGGUUUUAUUAAAAACGAUCGUUUUAGGAAACGAAUUGCUGCCCGAUUAUCAUCAAAUCAAGUGAGUGUAUAUUCACUUUCAAUUUACACAUAGAUAUGAAGUAUUUACCUUAAAAUACGUGUUACGUGUAAAUAUGUUAAUUGUUUAUUUGAGGUGACUGUUGUGUUGAUAUUCUAUACAAGUUUUAAACUGUAUAUAUAUUUUUAUCUACAAAUAUGUUGGGUAGAACAUGGGUAGUUAGUUGGUGUGUGAUAAAAUAAAGUGAUGAGAGGUAUCGAUGUUUAAGAUGAUCUAGUCAUCUAACAGAGUAUAGACAACGGCCACAGACUAUUUUAGAUAGUCCAGUGGAACGUUAGUAGACUCGUAAUCGGUACAUAUGUUUGAACUAUAUGUUCAUAAAGUGUUCUUGAACUAUAUGUUCCUUAGGUGUUUUUGAACUAUGUGUUCAUCCGUUAAUUCUUCUUUUUGACACUAUUACGUGUCGGGGUACGGGAGCGUACGGGAGUACUUUAUUAGUAUUUUCCCUAUGCUUUUAUUUUGAAGAGAUUUGGAGUCUUCGUUUCUUUUGUGAAGUGAUCGGACGAGCUUCAUGAGUCAGUGUUUUCCUUUCCGAUGCCGGAUAGGGGUGAGUCUGGGGGUUCAGACCACAGCCUAGGCAUUAGUCAGUGUUUUCCUUUCCGAUGCCGGAUAGGGGUGAGUCUGGGGGUUAUAUACCUCACGAUAUUCAGACCACAACCUAGGCAUUAGUUAGUGUUUCCAUUGCCGGAUAGGGUGCGUCUGGGGGUUAUAUAUCUCACGAUAUUCAGACCACAGCCUAGGCAAAGUUCGAUGCUGGAUAGGGUGCGUCUGGGGGUUAUAUACCUCACGAUAUAUAGACCACAAUUUAGGAAUUUAUAACUAUCCCUAACUUAAUUGUCUUGUGGUUCUUUCUUUUACGAACAAAGGUUCGUAGUUAAACUUAGUCCAUUCAUUCAAUUUGUUUAUCGAUCCUUGUUUGCUGCUAGAGGAUUUCUGAAGCAGUUUCGUAGUUAGUUGUUCAUAUCGAUCCUUUAGGCUAGAUCUAGUAAGAUCACUGUAUAAGGUUAGUAUGUGGGGCUCAAUGCUGUUAGUUCCUGUUAAGUUAACCUUGGUGAUGAUGUGACUUCGUGCCUAUUAGGUAAACCCUAGCGACUAUGAGACGUAGUGCCUAUUAGAUAAAUCUUGGCGACGAUGUGACUUCGUGCCUAUUUGACCUAAAUUGUUGUAGGAAAACAAUGUUGUCACCCCUAAUGAAAAUCCUUAGGCUAGGUCCCUUGUGAUAGUUGUUUUAGGGACGUAAGGUGAGGAUAACGGGAAUGGGUAAUUGGGGUAAUUUGGUUGACUGAUUGAUGUUUAAACAUAAUAAAUUUAUGUAUUGUGGGUUGAAAACCCUAUAUGCUCACCAGGCUUCCAAGCCUGACCCACUCAGCUUUUUAUGAUUACAGGUAGUGGACCCCGAGCAUAGUCGGAUGAUGAUGAUGAGUG
rnacentral:lncRNA from 1 species